rnacentral:rRNA from 1 species
UACGUAGGGGGCUAGCGUUAUCCGGAAUCACUGGGCGUAAAGGGCGCGUAGGCGGCUUCUCAAGCGUGUGGUGAAAGUCCGGGGCUCAACCCCGGAUCGGCCGUGCGGACUGGGGAGCUCGAGUUCUGUAGAGGCGGGUGGAAUUCCGGGUGUAGCGGUGGAAUGCGUAGAGAUCCGGAAGAACACCAGUGGCGAAGGCGGCCCGCUGGGCAGUGGCUGACGCUGAGGCGCGACAGCGUGGGGAGCAAACAGG